CCAUCUCUUAUCAAAUACAACCAUCUUAUCUCUCGCUUAUUUUGUUGGUGUCCCCUAAACAGGCAGCAUGGAGAUAACUUGUUUGUUGUGUUUAUUGUUAGUAGUCUCGUUUUGGUCUGUCGAUGGUACCGGAAGCGCAUGCCGAGAUUUAGACCACGACGCAUGCGUGGCAAUGGCCAAGCAGAAUUCACAAAUAUGCUCUGACCAGAUUCUGGCAAAGACGGCUUGUCCCGGGUACUGUAACAUUUGCCCUGUUACAUGUUAUAACUGCAACACCAGCAAGUUCCGACGUCAGUCAGUGUAACACAGCCACGUGUGCAAAAGGAGAAAUGUGUUUGCUAAAGACAGUGAGCAGGACCGAAAGUACAGAUCUGUACAGCAUGAUGUGUGGACCUCAAACGAUCUGUUCAAUUGGCCGAAAAAGAAAUCAACAUUCGGAUGUCCUCGGUUUAAAAUCACGUGACACGUCGAUAGAUCUGCAUUGCUGUGAUUCUGACUUGUGUAAUACUCCUUCUCAACGUCUUCCAACAACAACAACAACUACUACUACUACUUCCGCUCCUACCUCGAGGCAGACUGUCACACAACACGCAACACACCAUCCGACACACCCAACACACCAUCCGACACACACAACACAUCAUCCGACACACGUAACACACCAUCCGACACAUGCCACUACAGCAGCGACAGUUUGUAAACAUCACUCGUGUUAUAAUCACGGUGUGUGCAAACCUGCAACCAGCAGUUUAGGGUUCGUCUGCCAGUGUCCACGAGGAUUCUCUGGAGCUAGAUGCGAAAAUAAUACGCACUGUAACAGUCAGACGUGUCAGAACGGUGGAACAUGUCGCACAACAUCGCAUUAUCCCUACUAUUCCUGCAUCUGCUCAAGCAAAUACCUAUGGAAGACAUUGUGAACUUAAAUUACUUUGUGACCAAAAUCCAUGUCAAAAUGGAGGAAGUUGCUAUAUGUCGAGCCAUAGCACGCAUUACUAUUGUACUUGUCGCAGCGGUUACCAUGGAUCAAUGUGUCAAUAUCAUUCAAAGUGUGAUACUAACCCUUGCCUCCACAAUGGCCUGUGUUUAGAUACGAGUACGGGAGACGGUUACAGAUGCCACUGUCGAUCUGGUUUCUCAGGAGAAAGAUGUCAAGUUAAUUCAUACUGUGACCACCACCCAUGUAAAAACGGAGGAGUAUGUAAUGUAUUGAGCCAUACACCGUAUUACAGAUGUUCUUGCCGCAUCGGUUACAAUGGAUCUUCGUGUCAACAUGCAAGUUCAACAACAGUGUCUCCAAAGAAACGAUUUUAGAAUAUUUUCUUUUUUACUGAUAUUUAAUUGAAAGACAGAAACAGAAAGAAAUAAAUGUCAUUUACUGAA
rnacentral:lncRNA from 1 species